rnacentral:sRNA from 1 species
AGCCGCUGCACGCUCUUCCUGCUCAGGGGACUCACGGUGACCCCGGAGCCACUCCCCAGCCCAGCCUCCAGCUGAGGAGGCUGUUGGCUGACCCCCUUGGCUGCCCACAAGGCCAACGGGCCUGAGCCCCCACAGGGCCAUGGGCAUUACCUGCUGAAUUGAGGAGCCCAUAAGGAGUCACUUGGACCACAGUGAACACUUGGCGACCACUGACACUCAGGAGACCUUAGCUGGUCCUCCAGCACCUCUCAACUCCACUCCUACUAAACUGGGAACUUCUCUGGUGCUCAGGCCAGAGUCGGGGUCAGUCACCGAGGAUGCUAUGCGCUAUGAGGACGGGGACUUGGUUGCCUUUUCCAGUGACGAGGAAUUGACAAUGGCCAUGUCCUACGUGAAGGAUGACAUCUUCCGAAUCUACAUUAAAGAGAAAAAAGAGUGCCGGCGGGACCACCGCCCACCGUGUGCUCAGGAGGCGCCCCGCAACAUGGUGCACCCCAAUGUGAUCUGUGAUGGCUGCAAUGGGCCUGUGGUGGGAA